AUUGAACGCUGGCGGCAGGCCUAACACAUGCAAGUCGGGCGGUAACACAGGGAGCUUGCUCCUGGGUGACGAGCGGCGGACGGGUGAGUAAUGUCUGGGAAACUGCCUGAUGGAGGGGGAUAACUACUGGAAACGGUAGCUAAUACCGCAUAACGUCGCAAGACCAACGAGGGGGACCUUGGGGCCUCUGGCCAUCAGAUGUGCCCAGAUGGGAUUAGCUAGUAGGUGGGGUAAUGGCUCACCUAGGCGACGAUCCCUAGCUGGUCUGAGAGGAUGACCAGCCACACUGGAACUGAGACACGGUCCAGACUCCUACGGGAGGCAGCAGUGGGGAAUAUUGCACAAUGGGCGCAAGCCUGAUGCAGCCAUGCCGCGUGUGUGAAGAAGGCCUUCGGGUUGUAAAGCACUUUCAGCGAGGAGGAAGGCGGUGAGGUUAAUAACCUCAUCGAUUGACGUUACUCGCAGAAGAAGCACCGGCUAACUCCGUGCCAGCCGCCGCUGUAA
rnacentral:rRNA from 1 species